AGCACACAUCAAAAAUCAAUAAUCGAUUAAAUAAUUAGAAAAUUGUGAAAAUUACUGUAAUUUUGAAAUCAAUUCGAUGCAUGCGACCACAGCGACCGUCGAUCGCCUCGUCGGGUGUCAAACAACAGUCUCGUCUCGGCCGGAGCAUAAAUAAUCACAUUAUAAUAAAAUAAUGCAAUGCCCUCGAUGAGAGGACCGCUACAGCUCCAGCUCCAGCUCCAGCUUCAGCUCCCUACGCCCAGAUAUAUCCCAGAUUCCAGAUUCAAUUUAAAUGGAAAACACUUUCCUACGGACCAAGUCGCUCCAAUUAAUAUUCGCGGUGUGCCGCGAUCACCGCGAGCUGAUAAAGUGCGGCUCAUAUAUUUUGUCAUAAAUUUCAAACGCGCUCGACAGCUGCUCGACUCAUCAAUCAGCCCCAGUCCAGGUCCAGGUCCACUCCAGAUUCGAUCCGAUCGGAGCCGGAGCACGUGGAGCGUGCGGACUUUGGCAAACACUCGAUUAAAAUCAACUUCAAUUUGUAAUAAAUCAAAAGUCCUAUCAAAAGCGUAUCCGCGGAAUAUCACGAGGCGAUCGGGGCACCCAAAAGGGCUGAGCUGCGGAGGAGGUUUGCCCCGGACCAAUGAAGAAAUUUUGGCCGGCCAUGUGGCUCCUCAUCCCGGUUAGGCCUGGAUGAUGAAUGGUUAUUGAUUCGAAGGAAUCGCGACCGCCCCCUUUUGGUUCCUCAGUCUCCCAUCAUCGUAAGUAUUUCGACGGAUAGUAGGAAUAUUGGCGAUUGUAGGUGGGCCAAUCCACAGAUGUCCAGCAUUCUGCAGCUUUUAAUAUAUAAAUGCGCACAGCCUAAACAUUACAUUUUCUGUUUCUUGGCAUGUGAAUUACACCUCAGGUGGUUGUAAAGAUGUAAAAUCCUUAGAAAACGAA
ensembl:ncRNA lncRNA:CR44829 long non-coding RNA:CR44829